AUGAGAGGAAAGUCCGGGCUCCAAGAGACACAGCGCCGGGUAACACCCGGCAAAGGCGACUUUAGGGAUAGUGCCACAGAAAAUAGACCGCCUGAGAAGGUAAGGGUGAAAAGGUGCGGUAAGAGCGCACCGCAUAUAUGGUAACAUAAUAUGGCAGGGUAAACCCCGCUGGGAGCAAGACCAAAUAGGAAUAGCGAAGGUGAAAACCAAGAAUUGUCUCAGUUUUAGUUAUUCGGGUAGGUUGCUAGAGAUGUAUGGAAACAUAUAUCCAAGAUGAAUGAUCAUCACCACUAAGUGGAUACAGAACCCGGCUUACAGACCAUCUGGCUUU
rnacentral:RNase_P_RNA from 1 species